GAUGAAGAACGCAGCGAAAUGCGAUAGGUAAUGUGAAUUGCAGAAUUCAGUGAAUCAUCGAGUCUUUGAACGCACAUUGCGCCCCCUGGUAUUCCGGGGGGCAUGCCUGUCCGAGCGUCAUUGCCGCCCUCAAGCACGGCUUGUGUGUUGGGCCCCCGCCCCCCGGCUUCGGGGGGCGGGCCCGAAAGGCAGCGGCGGCACCGCGUCCGGUCCUCGAGCGUAUGGGGCUUCGUCACCCGCUCUGUAGGCCCGGCCGGCGCCCGCCGGCGACCCCAAUCAAUCUUUCCAGGUUGACCUCGGAUCAGGUAGGGAUACCCGCUGAACUUAAGCAUAUCAAUAAGCGGAGGA
rnacentral:misc_RNA from 1 species